rnacentral:misc_RNA from 1 species
AAAAAAAAAAAAAAAAAUUUAAUAGAAUGUAAUAGAUUGGUUAUUUACAUGAGAAGGCAGCCUUAUUUCCCAACACACAAACCAUCUCAAUACUCUGCAUUUAUUUGUUUGUUUAUUUAUUUUCAAUGUUUUGUGCAGUAAAAAGAGGCAACUGAUCAGCAGGCAUUACUUUCUUUGGUGUGCUCAUCAAGCCAAGAAAUGAUAUCAUUUAAAACCCGAAUUAUCAUUUCAUCCGGCUCACCUUCAAGAAGUGAAUGAAAAGCAUCCUUAUAUAGCUUAAGCUUCUUGUCUGAACUGCGGGCUUUCUCAUACAAAGCCUUGCUCACAGAUGGAUCUGUUACAAUAUCAGACUCUCCAUGAAGAAUUAACAGUGGCAGAGAGACUUCUCCAAGUCGCUCUUCUAUCUCUUCAGUGGUCCUGAGCAUCUCUAAAGCUGUCUUCAACCGUGGCUUGUCCUUGUAAGCAAUAACAUUAUAAGCUGUCAGCUCUCGCUUCUUCAAUUCCCUAAAAGCAGCCUCAGCCAAAUCCUUUUGUGGAACUAAUUUUUUCGUUGGAAGAACAUUUGCUACACCAAUCAAGAUUUUCUUCACCAACAAAGGUGGAACCAUGUCAUCUGCAAUUUUGCACAUAGGUGCAACAAGAAUGGCACCAUUCCAUGCAUCGGGUUGUUUUAAGUGCACCUUCAAAGCAACAGCUCCACCCAUUGACUGUCCAAACAGGAAGCUUGGGAGUGUCCUAAUUGCCGGGUCCUCUGCCAUCCAAAGAAUCAGACACAUAAAUUAGGGGUAAGCCACAACUUAUGUCAUCGAAAAAUAUGAAUAGGCCAUUCUAAGAGAGAGCAGAUUAUUUACAAUGGCACUGCCUGCAUACAUUUGCCCUAUACUUUUACGUUGACUUACUGAGUCAUACAACCUAGCAACGGGGAGGUUGUUCCAAAAGUGCAGGAACUUGAAGAGAACACAAAAAAGAAGCAGCAGCAAACAAAGGUGGGCAGUCAGUAAUCUUUCUUAUGCAAUUUUGUUUUCUAUAUCACAAUCAAUAAAGAAUAGCAUUUGGGGUGAUUACACAAAAAUUUCUUCUAAUAUUGAGAAAUUGAUACAGAAUUUCACAGAGAAGUGCAGGACAUUAUCAGGAGCAAAUUUCAAGAAAGCCAUUUCCACCCUCUGCACUCCAUAUGCUUGAACACUGGUAAUUGCAACUCAUUCAAUUCUUACCUUCAUCAUAAUCAUUUUUUCUUGAGAGGCUAAACCCUGGGAUUUUUUAAGAACUUAAAAGGUCAAUUUCUAGCAUAACCAGGUUGUCCUAGCAGUGGAGUGCCACCAUGAGAGAUCAAGCACAUUUUCAAAAAAAUUAUAGAAACUGAGGCUGUGAGGUUGUCCAACAGAAAAUUCUGUAUUGAAGCAGCCUAAUCCAUGUUUGAGUCUGUAAUCUCUAUUCAGAUUGCCUAAGAAAUUCCUUCUGACGCAAUAAAUAACCAAACAGUCUGUUAUUCUAAAGAAUGAAUCUGAAAUGUGAACUCUAAGCAUCAAGGUUUUCAAACCCCGCCCACUUAUUGAACGGAAAGCAGAGGGUUAAGAAUUUAAGAUUCAACUGAUGUCAAAACAGGACUUAACCAAGGUCAAAUCAGAGUUUAACCAGUAUACUAUUAAAUAAAUAUUAUAAAAUUAAUAAUA